GCUAUGGGCAACUGCACCACUCUUUCAACAGUGUUUUGAUAAAUCUCCCCCAUAAUCUUUAAUUUCAGAUUAGCGAUCUACUGCGGUCAUGUGAUGUAUAGACCGCGCUUGGCUGAUAAUACUACAGUUUUCAGAGUUUUCUAUAGUAAUGGGCCAUUCACCUCUGUGAUCAUCACACGACCGAAACAUCCUCUGGAAGUAAAAAGUGGCUUAAUGACACAGCUUGGAGUUGGCAGCAUGAGGAGAACAUAUGGUGGCAGAAUGAGGCAGCCUGGAGGUGGCACCACCAUGAGAACAUAUGGUGGCAGAAUGAGACAGCCUGGAGGUGGCACCACCAUGAGAACAUAUGGUGGCAGAAUGAGACAGACUGAAGGUGGCAGUAGCAGCAUCAGGAGUCCUAAAAACUGACCCGGUGACAGAGUGGUGCAGUGGUUGGCAAUACUAGUACCCGGUGACGAAGGUGGGAGAACAAAGGAGAACUUGGCAUCAGAUGUGUGGCAUCAGGAGGGUGGCAGGAUCAGAAUAGUAGCUGAGGCAGUGCUCCGAUCCGAUCAUCUAUUUUCAGCUUACAAUAUCUUCCUCACAACUCAGCCGCACCUGAUGACUGGAUAAGAGGAUGGGAUACGAGGACAAUAAAGGAGGACGGGAUAUAAGGUCAAAAGCUUCUUCCUUUGUUGCUUUUCCUCCCCAACAAUAAUUAGAAAGUAAAAACUGGGCAAGGCCGUGUACUCAGCUAGAAUAUAUGUUUGUUUAUUUUUUUCUCUUUAUAUUUUAUGACAAACUGCA